rnacentral:tRNA from 2 species
GGGGGUGUGGUGAAGCUUGGCCGUUCACGCCGGCCUGUCAAGCCGGAGGUCGCGGGUUCGAAUCCCGUCAUCCCCGCCA